UGAGGGAGGGUUACUUUGAACCGUGUUAACAUUUUCAGUGUUAUGCUUUGUAGGAUGGUAAGCUACUCUCUC
rnacentral:tRNA from 1 species